rnacentral:rRNA from 1 species
UACGUAGGCAGCAAGCGUUGUUCGGAGUUACUGGGCGUAAAGGGUGUGUAGGCGGUUCUUUAAGUUUGGUGUGAAAUCUCCCGGCUCAACCGGGAGGGUGCGCCGAAAACUGAAGGGCUAGAGUGCGGGAGAGGAGAGUGGAAUUCCUGGUGUAGCGGUGAAAUGCGUAGAUAUCUGGAGGAACACCGGUGGCGAAGGCGGCAUCCUGGACCGAUAUUGACGCUGAGGAGCGAAAGCCAGGGGAGCAAACGGG